ACUGAACGCUGGCGGCAUGCUUUACACAUGCAUGUCGAACGGUAACAGGCCGCAAGGUGCUGACGAGUGGCGAACGGGUGAGUAAUGCAUCGGAACGUGCCCAGUCGUGGGGGAUAACUACUCGAAAGAGUAGCUAAUACUGCAUACGAUCUAUGGAUGAAAGCGGGGGACCGUAAGGCCUCGCGCGAUUGGAGCGGCCGAUGUCAGAUUAGGUAGUUGGUGGGGUAAAGGCUCACCAAGCCAACGAUCUGUAGCUGGUCUGAGAGGACGACCAGCCACACUGGGACUGAGACACGGCCCAGACUCCUACGGGAGGCAGCAGUGGGGAAUUUUGGACAAUGGGCGCAAGCCUGAUCCAGCAAUGCCGCGUGCAGGAAGAAGGCCUUCGGGUUGUAAACUGCUUUUGUACGGAACGAAACGGCUCUGGUUAAUACCCGGGGCUAAUGACGGUACCGUAAGAAUAAGCACCGGCUAACUACGUG
rnacentral:rRNA from 1 species